rnacentral:rRNA from 1 species
CCUACGGGUGGCUGCAGUGAGGAAUAUUGGUCAAUGGGCGAGAGCCUGAACCAGCCAAGUCGCGUGAGGGAGUACUGCCCUAUGGGUUGUAAACCUCUUUUGUCGGGGAGCAAAAGCCGGACGUGUCCGGCUGUGAGAGUACCCGAAGAAAAAGCAUCGGCUAACUCCGUGCCAGCAGCCGCGGUAAUACGGAGGAUGCGAGCGUUAUCCGGAUUUAUUGGGUUUAAAGGGUGCGUAGGCGGGAUGCCAAGUCAGCGGUAAAAAUGCGGUGCUCAACGCCGUCGAGCCGUUGAAACUGGCGUUCUUGAGUGGGCGAGAAGUAUGCGGAAUGCGUGGUGUAGCGGUGAAAUGCAUAGAUAUCACGCAGAACUCCGAUUGCGAAGGCAGCAUACCGGCGCCCUACUGACGCUGAGGCACGAAAGCGUGGGUAUCGAACAGGAUUAGAUACCCCAGUAGUC